ensembl:lncRNA
CUGUAGUACUGUGGUGUGUUAGGUAGUACUGUGGUGUGUUAAACCUGUAGUACUGUGGUGUGUUAGGUAGUACUGUGGUGUGUUAGGUAGUACUGUGGUGUGUUAAACCUGUAGUACUGUGGUGUGUUAGGUAGUUCUGUGGUGUGUUAGGUAGUACUGUGGUGUGUUAGGUAGUACUGUGGUGUGUUAAACCUGUAGUACUGUGGUGUGUUAAACCUGUAGUACUGUGGUGUGUUAGGUAGUACUGUGGUGUGUUAGGAAGUACUGUGGUGUGUUAGGUAGUACUGUGGUGAGUUAAACCUGUAGUACUGUGGUGUGUUAGGUAGUACUGUGGUGUGUUAAACCUGUAGUACUGUGGUGUGUUAAACCAUUCGACCUGUUGACCUGUUGGUUAUUAGACCUGUUGAACUGCUGGUUAUUAGACCUGUUGACCUGUUGGUUAUUAGACCUG